UCCAGAUAAAUUACGUCAUUGCCCACAUAUUUUCUGAUCAAGCGACAAAUCGCCUGCGGUGAUAGUCUAUGGGAGUUUACGUGUUAAAUGUAAAAUCGCACAUACACGUAGGUCUACGUGUAUUAUCUGCUGAAGAGAGGUGACUGAAGGAGGACUUGAUCUUGUCAUUCUUGGUCUGAUAACCAACAUGGAAGAAGCCCUUAUCCUAGAAGUGUAGGAAAAUCCAAUCCUGUAUGACAAGAGAUUGGAGAUGUUCAAGGAUACAGAAGUAAAAAAUUAUGUAUUACAUGACAUUGGGCGUCAGCUUGCAAUCUCAGGUGACGUAGCGAGUUGAGGGACAACUUCCUAAAAAAACGACAGAAAAUGGAGAGGAAGAGUGGUGACGGAGCUCCCUCAAAUGCAGCACGUAAAUACAAGUACAGUGAGGCAAUGUAAUUCCUACU